UACGGAGGGGGUUAGCGUUGUUCGGAAUUACUGGGCGUAAAGCGUGCGCAGGCGGUUUUGUAAGUCUGACGUGAAAGCCCCGGGCUCAACCUGGGAAUUGCGAUGGAGACUGCAAGGCUUGAAUCUGGCAGAGGGGGGUAGAAUUCCACGUGUAGCAGUGAAAUGCGUAGAGAUGUGGAGGAACACCGAUGGCGAAGGCAGCCCCCUGGGUCAAGAUUGACGCUCAUGCACGAAAGCGUGGGGAGCAAACAGG
rnacentral:rRNA from 1 species